rnacentral:rRNA from 1 species
GAUGAACGCUGGCGGCGUGCCUAAUACAUGCAAGUCGAGCGAACAGACGAGGAGCUUGCUCCUCUGACGUUAGCGGCGGACGGGUGAGUAACACGUGGAUAACCUACCUAUAAGACUGGGAUAACUUCGGGAAACCGGAGCUAAUACCGGAUAAUAUAUUGAACCGCAUGGUUCAAUAGUGAAAGACGGUUUUGCUGUCACUUAUAGAUGGAUCCGCGCCGCAUUAGCUAGUUGGUAAGGUAACGGCUUACCAAGGCAACGAUGCGUAGCCGACCUGAGAGGGUGACGGGCCACACUGGAACUGAGACACGGUCCAUAGUCCUACGGGAGGCAGCAGUAGGGAAUCUUCGGGAAUGGGCGAAAGCCUGACGGAGCAACGCCGCGUGAGUGAUGAAGGUCUUCGGAUCGUAAAACUCUGUUAUUAGGGAAGAACAAAUGUGUAAGUAACUAUGCACGUCUUGACGGUACCUAAGCAGAAAGCCACGGCUAGCUACGUG